UUUCCUAUCAGUGAAUGCGCCACACCUGUAUACUAGAAUGUUGCCCUGACAACAACAAUCUACAGUGUGGAGGUUGUUACUUAGGCUUUGCUGCAUUUUCUGUCAGCAAAAUGUUUAAAAUGAAGGUCAGAGGAAGCACAGAGAUGUGAGAGGCUUGGAGGGAUGCAGGCUGUUCAUCCGGGCUCACAUGGCAGGGAAUUAGACUUCAGCAGAUAUCAGGGCCGCCAAUCUGUGAGGUGCUGCGGCUGCGAUGCUUGCCGACGAUGGCCACGACGCGAGCGCUGAUGCUUGAGCGUCUCUUCUUGCUUCCACCGCUUACGGUGCCCAGCGCUGUGUCUGAUUGGCUGCCAUCUGUGCGCUCCUGCGUGUAGAUCUCACCGCUCACACUGGAGCUCUUCAUCAUGUUCCGGCCCAUCGAAGAUCGCAUCUGCCGACUGUAAGGAAGAGGACACUGCAAUAAUCUAGGAACUGGGAGCUGUGGAAGCUGCCGACCCCUGCGCCCAGAUAUCACCGUUGGAGAAGGGCUGCAAUGUGGGUGUGCUCUAACAAGAAGCAUCAAAAACACAAAAACAGACUUUUUCUGCUGCCCCACGGACAGUUUAGACUGGAUGAAUUAAUACUCUCCCUGUUUCGACAACCCCCCAAAAAAGAGGAAGACAAAGAAGAAGAGUAUGGAAAACAGCCACCCCUUAAAUGUGAGCUGAAUGUUGCCUGAAGAUACAAAACUAAUAAAGAUCCUACAACUUUAAAACUGAUGCUGAACUUUGUAAUAUAACUGAAAACUGCACAUGUAAACUCUUUUCUUUUCUCUAAUAACAAUGUUGAACUGAAAAAAAGUGCUUAAAAGCCAAAGUGACAGCAGGAUUUCAGCAGAGAAGCAGGCACAGCAGAAUAAAUUACAAAGCUUUAGAAUAUUUAUGGGAAAAAGGAAAGAAAAGCACCGAUCACAAGGUUUGUGAUGCUUUAUAUCAAGGUUGAGCUUUAAGCAGCAGGAAAAGCUUCCAGAAGGAAAAAUCAAGGAGGUUUCAGGAAGGCAAAACAGAAGCAAGGAGUAGGAAGACAGCAGAUGGGAAGGCAGG